rnacentral:ncRNA from 1 species
GGCCCAUCGCGCGACUGGCGAUUUGAGAUGGGCAACCAUCGGGGAGCGCGUGUCUGAACUGCCGAUCGCCUGGGCGGCCGGG